rnacentral:rRNA from 1 species
AAUAGAUACCCUGGUAGUCCACGCCGUAAACGAUGUCAACUAGCCGUUGGAAUCCUUGAGAUUUUAGUGGCGCAGCUAACGCAUUAAGUUGACCGCCUGGGGAGUACGGCCGCAAGGUUAAAACUCAAAUGAAUUGACGGGGGCCCGCACAAGCGGUGGAGCAUGUGGUUUAAUUCGAAGCAACGCGAAGAACCUUACCAGGCCUUGACAUGCAGAGAACUUUCCAGAGAUGGAUUGGUGCCUUCGGGAACUCUGACACAGGUGCUGCAUGGCUGCCGUCAGCUCGUGUCGUGAGAUGUUGGGUUAAGUCCCGUAACGAGCGCAACCCUUGUCCUUAGUUACCAGCACGUUAUGGUGGGCACUCUAAGGAGACUGCCGGUGACAAACCGGAGGAAGGUGGGGAUGGCGUCAAGUCAUCAUGGCCCUUAGGCCUGGGCUACACACGUGCUACAAUGGUCGGUACAGAGGGUUGCCAAGCCGCGAGGUGGAGCUAAUCUCACAAAAACCGAUCGUAGUCCGGAUCGCAGU